CAGUAGCCACGGUAAUACGGAGGGAGCUAGCGUUAUUCGGAAUUACUGGGCGUAAAGCGCACGUAGGCGGCUUUGUAAGUUAGAGGUGAAAGCCUGGAGCUCAACUCCAGAAUUGCCUUUAAGACUGCAUCGCUUGAAUCCAGGAGAGGUGAGUGGAAUUCCGAGUGUAGAGGUGAAAUUCGUAGAUAUUCGGAAGAACACCAGUGGCGAGGGCGGCUCACUGGACUGGUAUUGACGCUGAGGUGCGAAAGCGUGGGGAGCAGACAGGAUUAGAUACCCCUGUAGUCCCUGUCUCUUAUAC
rnacentral:rRNA from 1 species